GAUGAACGCUGGCGGCGUGCCUAAUACAUGCAAGUCGAGCGAACAGACGAGGAGCUUGCUCCUCUGACGUUAGCGGCGGACGGGUGAGUAACACGUGGAUAACCUACCUAUAAGACUGGGAUAACUUCGGGAAACCGGAGCUAAUACCGGAUAAUAUAUUGAACCGCAUGGUUCAAUAGUGAAAGACGGUUUUGCUGUCACUUAUAGAUGGAUCCGCGCCGCAUUAGCUAGUUGGUAAGGUAACGGCUUACCAAGGCAACGAUGCGUAGCCGACCUGAGAGGGUGAUCGGCCACACUGGAACUGAGACACGGUCCAGACUCCUACGGGAGGCAGCAGUAGGGAAGCUUCCGCAAUGGGCGAAAGCUUGACGGAGCAACGCCGCGUGAGUGAUGAAGGUCUUCGGAUCGUAAAACUCUGUUAUUAUGGAAGAACAAAUGUGUAAGUAACUAUGCACGUCUUGACGGUACCUAAUCAGAAAGCCACGGCUAACUACGUG
rnacentral:rRNA from 1 species